rnacentral:rRNA from 1 species
GAUGAACGCUGGCGGCGUGCCUAAUACAUGCAAGUCGAGCGAACAGAUGAGGAGCUUGCUCCUCUGACGUUAGCGGCGGACGGGUGAGUAACACGUGGAUAACCUACCUAUAAGACUGGGAUAACUUCGGGAAACCGGAGCUAAUACCGGAUAAUAUCUUGAACCGCAUGGUUCAAUAGUGAAAUACGGUUUUGCUGUCACUUAUAGAUGGAUCCGCGCCUCAUUAGCUAGUUGGUAAGGUAACGGCUUACCAAGGCAACGGUGGGUAGCCGACCUGAGGGGGUGGUAGGCCCACGUGGAAUCUGGCAAACGUCCAGAGUACUUAGGGACGGCGGAGGAGGGAAAUGUACGCAACUGGGGGAAAGCUGGAGGAAGCAAGGCGAGGUAGAUGAGGAAGUUCCGCGGUUCGAAAAACUCGUUUAUAGGGAAAAAAAAAUUUGGAAAGUAACAAAGAAGGUUUGAAGGUAACCAAUAAAGAAGCCCCGGGUAAAUACGUG